rnacentral:lncRNA from 1 species
GAGUCGACAAAUCUACAAUGUAAAUAUUGUUAACUCUUCUUCCCUGCAAAACAAUCUUGUGAGUAGUAAGGCUAAUCACAAAACAUUUUAUGAAAGUGUAAGCCACAAGGUUACCUCUAUCACACAGUUGUGACACACUUAUCAGGCUAUAUUUCAAGCCAUCUAUCAAAUAGACAUUCUAAAUGGAAUGAGAGUCUGUUUUCCCUACCUUUCCAACCCCAAUGAUCUCACCGUUCUUCCCAUUUCCAAAGGAGACAUUACCUCCUUUUAGGUUCUCAAGUGAAAUAAACUUGUCCCAUUUACCAGUCAUAUGUUUUGAGCAGCCACUAUCCAUGUACCAUAUUUGGCUACUUCCUUUCACUUGGACCUGUAAAAUGAAAUCAGGGGUUAGUUUUAGGAACCCAAACAAGUUUGGGUCCCUUUCUAUGGGCAAAAUGAUGAAUUAAAUUUUUCUUUGCCUAACCAGGCAGUUUGUGUUAUUCUUGAACAAAAGCUUUGUUCUUUUGACAUGCCUUUUCUUUUGAAUUGCAUUCAUUUUUGUAAUGGCCAGCCUUACCACAAUGUGUACAUAUCUUAUUCUUAGGAAGAGUGAGGUACUUGUUUUUGGGAUGCCAUUUUGGAGCUUGUAUCCCAAUCCCAAGUCCUCUCUUGUUGUUGCUGUGAUGCUCUUGCAGCCAGGAGAAUGCAUCAGAAGCCUUGUUCCAUUUGUAUGUUCUGUCUAGUUCAUGAUUCACCUUUCCUAGUUCUUCUUUAAGGACCUUGAUCGAGUCAUCUUUGUUAUGCAGCUCAUCUUUCAUUUUUCCUAAAUUUUCUUCUAGUGUGAGAAAUGAUUGAUAAGCCUUUUUCUUUCCUAUCCGUAUUUUCAGUUAUAAGUUUUCAGACCUGAGUUCUAGGACACUGUUUUUCAGUUGAAGAACCUGGUUCUUCAACUCCUUAUUUGAGUUAUUACUCUCAUCAGCCCUAGACUCUAACCUUUUGCAUUUUUCUUCUAGUAUUGUACAAUCCCUAGCCAGAACAUCU